rnacentral:rRNA from 1 species
AAUAGAUACCCCAGGUAGUCCACGCCGUAAACGCUGAUGACUCGCCCUUUGGCGGGGUAAAACCCCGCUGGGGGGGCUCAGCUAACGCGAGAAGUCAUCCGCCUGGGAAGUACGAGCGCAAGCUUAAAACUCAAAGGAAUUGACGGGGACCCGCACAAGCAGCGGAGCGUGUGGUUUAAUUUCGACGCAACGCGCACAACCUUACCCAGAUUUGACAUGGAGCUGCAAGCCGGUGAAAGCCGGUCGCCUACGAGGGUGCUCCACAGGUGCUGCAUGGCUGUCGUCAGCUCGUGUCGUGAGAUGUUGGGUUAAGUCCCGCAACGAGCGCAACCCUCGUCGCCAGUUAUACGUGUCUGGCGAGACUGCCCCGUCGGGGAGGAAGGCGGGGAUGACGUCAAGUCCGCAUGGCCCUUACGUCUGGGGCGACACACACGCUACAAUGCCGUCGACAAUGCGUCGCAAGCCGGCAACGGCAAGCUAAUCGCGAACAGGCGGCCCAGUGCAGAUCGGGGGGUCUGAAACCUCGCCCCCGUGGAA